UGGGGAAUAUUGCACAAUGGGCGCAAGCCUGAUGCAGCAACGCCGCGUGAACGAUGAAGGUCUUCGGAUCGUAAAGUUCUGUUGCAGGGGAAGAUAAUGACGGUACCCUGUGAGGAAGCCCCGGCUAAUUCCGUGCCAGCAGCCGCGGUAAUACGGAAGGUUCGGGCGUUAUCCGGAUUUAUUGGGCGUAAAGGGUACGUAGGUGGUUUUUUAAGUCAGGUGUCAAAGCGUGGAGCUUAACUCCAUUAAGCACUUGAAACUGAAAGACUUGAGUGAAGGAGAGGAAAGUGGAAUUCCUAGUGUAGCGGUGAAAUGCGUAGAUAUUAGGAGGAAUACCGGUGGCGAAGGCGACUUUCUGGACUUUUACUGACGCUCAGGUACGAAAGCGUGGGGAGCAAACAGG
rnacentral:rRNA from 1 species